rnacentral:tRNA from 1 species
GAGCCGCUAGCUCAGUUGGUAGAGCAUCUGACUUUUAAUCAGAUGGUCGAAGGUUCGAGUCCUUCGCGGCUCA